rnacentral:rRNA from 1 species
GCUGGGUAGCUAUGUACGGAAUGGAUAAGCGCUGAAAGCAUCUAAGCGCGAAGCCAACUUCAAGAUAAGAUUUCCCACCGCAAGGGUAAGACCCCAGAAAGACUAUCUGGUUGAUAGGUCGAAGGUGUAAGUGCAGCAAUGUAUUUAGCUUAUCGAUACUAAUAGGUCGAGGACUUGACCAAU